AGCGAACGCUGGCGGCAGGCCUAACACAUGCCAGUCGAACGAACCUUUCGGGGUUAGUGGCGGACGGGUGAGUAACACGUGGGAACGUGCCUUUAGGUUCGGAAUAACUCAGGGAAACUUGUGCUAAUACCGAAUGUGCCCUUCGGGGGAAAGAUUUAUCGCCUUUAGAGCGGCCCGCGUCUGAUUAGCUAGUUGGUUGAGGUAAUGGCUCACCAAGGCGACGAUCAGUAGCUGGUCUGAGAGGAUGAUCAGCCACAUUGGGACUGAGACACGGCCCAAACUCCUACGGGAGGCAGCAGUGGGGAACCUUGCGCAAUGGGCGAAAGCCUGACGCAGCCAUGCCGCGUGAAUGAUGAAGGUCUUAGGAUUGUAAAAUUCUUUCACCGGGGACGAUAAUGACGGUACCCGGAGAAGAAGCCCCGGCUAACUUCGUG
rnacentral:rRNA from 1 species